rnacentral:rRNA from 1 species
UACGUAGGGUGCAAGCGUUAAUCGGAAUUACGGGGCGUAAAGCGUGCGCAGGCGGUUCUAUAAGUCAGAUGUGAAAUCCCCGGGCUCAACCUGGGAACUGCAUUUGUGACUGUAGAGCUGGAGUACGGCAGAGGGGGAUGGAAUUCCGCGUGUAGCAGUGAAAUGCGUAGAUAUGCGGAGGAACACCGAUGGCGAAGGCAAUCCCCUGGGCCUGCACUGACGCUCAUGCACGAAAGCGUGGGGAGCAAACAGG